rnacentral:rRNA from 1 species
UACGAAAAGUGCAAGCGUUAAUCGGAAUUACUGGGCGUAAAGCGUGCGCAGGCGGUGAUGUAAGACAGAUGUGAAAUCCCCGGGCUCAACCUGGGAACUGCAUUUGUGACUGCAUGGCUAGAGUUUGGCAGAGGGGGGUAGAAUUCCACGUGUAGCAGUGAAAUGCGUAGAUAUGUGGAGGAACACCGAUGGCGAAGGCAGCCCCCUGGGUCAAGACUGACGCUCAUGCACGAAAGCGUGGGGAGCAAACAGG